AAAAAGACAAACCCUGGUUUCCGUGUCCAACGUUUGUCCAUCCGUCUUAUUUAAAAAAAAUUAAAAGACAAGUCAUGCAUAAAGUAUUAAUCAUGUUUUAUCAUCUAACAACAAUGAAAAUACUAAUUAUAAAAAAAAUCAUAUAAGACGGACAAACAAAUAUUUGACACGGAAAUCCAGUGUUUGUCUUUUU
rnacentral:pre_miRNA from 1 species